rnacentral:rRNA from 1 species
CCUACGGGAGGCAGCAGUGAGGAAUAUUGGUCAAUGGUCGGGAGACUGAACCAGCCAAGCCGCGUGAGGGAGGAAGGUACAGAGUAUCGUAAACCUCUUUUGUCAGGGAACAAAGGCGGGGACGUGUCCCCGGAUGAGUGUACCUGAAGAACAAGCAUCGGCUAACUCCGUGCCAGCAGCCGCGGUAAUACGGAGGAUGCGAGCGUUAUCCGGAUUUAUUGGGUUUAAAGGGUGCGCGGGCGGUCUGUUAAGUCAGCGGUCAAAGCCCGGGGCUCACCCCCGGCCCGCCGUUGAAACUGGCAGUCUCGAGUUGGAGAGAAGUAUGCGGAAUGCGCGGUGUAGCGGUGAAAGGCAUAGAUAUCGCGCAGAACUCCGAUUGCGAAGGCAGCAUGCCGGCUCCACACUGACACUGAGGCACGAAAGCGUGGGUAUCGAACAGGAUUAGAUACCCUGGUAGUC